AGAAAAUAAAAAGCGCCAGAACUUGACAGUUACGUGAAAAAUGUUAAGUUGACGAGGACUAGAGUGAUCGAAAAUUCGGCGGAUGCUCUAGAGGGUUCACACCCUAAAUAAGCCAACAAAACUAAAAAGUGAUUUUUAGGACAAAGGGUUUAUCGUGAAUUUC
rnacentral:ncRNA from 2 species